AUGCCCAGUGUCAUAAAAUCUCUGGAUAAGCAGCAGGGAUGGCUGCAGUGUCACUCGGAGGCCUUUCUCCCACAGCCUCCGUGGCUCAUCCCACACAUUGUGGGGACACAGGCCAUCGUACGGUCUGGCUUCCUCUUUCUCGGGAAGACUGCCGUUGGUAGAUACGGGUGUGAAGGUGGACCCAAUUCAGAUGUUUACAUGAAUGACUGGCAAAAAAAUAAAUGUGGAAAGAAUUCAGGGGGAAGACCCACCCAGCUGCAGCAAAAGCCAUCACAACAGGCUCUAAAGCCCUGGGACUGUCUUGCUGUAUUCCUACGCAGUGCACCUGGCAAUGACAAGCAGUAGGACCAUGUGGGCUCCUGGGGGACAUCUGCCUAGUCAUGCUUUUGGUAACCAUAGCUUUCCAAAGAUGGAUGGCAAAGCAUUCUCCAUUGCAUGCCAGACUGGACAAGGGAAGGAUGUAAGAGUUUUGUCCUAGAAAAGGUGAAGUAGAAAUAUCACGGGACUAGGAACCCUGUCCUAGGUCUGGGGACUAACUCUUUCCCCAGCUGCAGGUACCCGUAGACCUCAUUUUUAAAAACCUGUUUAGUAAGAGGUUUGGAUCAACUACAUGAAUCUAAAACUUAUUUUUCACUCUAAGAUUGUUCUUUGAUACUAAAUGAGAAUAACCUUUCAAGCCACACACGCCUUAUGAACAAGGCAGGUGUCAACAGAGUUCAUCCGAAGCCCCUAAAAAAUAAGCUCCAGCCUCCUGAAAAUCUUGUCACCUAGCGAUUUUUAGAUCAGGAAUCAAAAGUAGCUAACACAAACUCAUUGCAUAAUCUGGGAAUGUAUGUCUGUUAACGCAUUACCAGCUCUUUAGUCCUGACAUAAAGUAAGCUGUCUAAUAAGUCAGCCAGAGGUGAGACAAUUUGGGUUUGGAGAAGAACAGGUCAUAAAUCUCUGGCCCUGGAAGAUGAUGGCAGCCACAAUCCAUAUAUACUGAAACGAUUAUGGUGCUCCAGACAAGAUGAGACAAGAGACAAGCUAUUUAGUUAAUGAGAAGCCCAAAUCUCUCCUUGUGAAACAGCUAUCAGGUGUCGACAGAGAUCUGUUGCUCUUACUCACCCCUGCUUGACACAUCUUACCCUUCCAAAAGGCCCCCCCUGAAAUUCUCCACCUCCACACACACACAUAGUCACUUGUGAGCCUCAGAAAAGCAGACAGCUUCGCAGUAUCUUUCUGUCCCUGCCAUUACCUAAAACGGUCCACUGUUCCACUUACACAGGCUUUUCUGCGGCAGAUUCACAAGGUAACAUCUGCUUCAGAAACAGAUGUUUAUGCCAGAAUUCUCUUCUGCUCAUUAAUGCUUUUCCGGUUAACAUCUAACUAUCUCACUCAUUAGUUCUUAAUAAUACUUUUUGUAUCUGAGCCAUGCCAAAUACGCGCUCUUUAGAGCUCUGUAUUAUUGUUGCUUGUGCUGCUGGUGAAUUGCGCUGCUGAAUAAAGGAAAAGUAAAAAUAAUCCCCUCGAAGAAGGAGGCUGCUGGGUGUCAGAGCUCUAUCUUUGUGAACCGAACAAGCUGAAAUCAAUUAAAAGUGUGUGUUUCGAGAACGCAUCUCAGCUGUCUAAUUGUACCACCUCUGCUUUUGGGCCAAAGUUUGACUUCCUGCCAAACUGUCAUCAAAUGGGUGGGUGUCCAUCAGCACUUCUACACUGCCACCACGAGAGCCUCA
rnacentral:lncRNA from 1 species